CUAACCUUCCCCCGUCGCUGCCAAAUCAGCGACCGGGCGUAGGAACCCGAAUC
rfam:Pseudomonas putida strain TASWS0946 Contig173, whole genome shotgun sequence.